AGAGACAGCAGAGCCGCGGGAAUACAGAGGGUGCGAGCGUUAAUCGGAUUUACUGGGCGUAAAGCGUGCGUAGGCGGCUUUUUAAGUCGGAUGUGAAAUCCCUGAGCUUAACUUAGGAAUUGCAUUCGAUACUGGGAAGCUAGAGUAUGGGAGAGGAUGGUAGAAUUCCAGGUGUAGCGGUGAAAUGCGUAGAGAUCUGGAGGAAUACCGAUGGCGAAGGCAGCCAUCUGGCCUAAUACUGACGCUGAGGUACGAAAGCAUGGGGAGCAAACAGGAUUAGAUACCCCCGUAGUCCCUGUCUCUUAUACA
rnacentral:rRNA from 1 species